rnacentral:lncRNA from 1 species
UGUGACUAAGCUUUAGACCACAUUAUACCAACACCAAAGGCACUCAACUCUACAAUGACCUACACAGCCUUUGAGGUUUUAGUAAAGGGAUAAAUAGUCAAGGAAUCUGAACCUAAAAGUUUACAUGAGGUUCCCUGUCUUAACCCACACAAUCCAGACUGCAAGAGAUGGUGAGACUGCUCAGCAGACUAUAUCAUAAGAGAAGUAAGCUGAGAAUAAUCAUGGAUAAGAAGACACAGGCACUGGACCCUCUGGCAUUGGCCAACAACCUAAAAUUCAAAAUCAGACCUCAGACAGAUUUAGACAUGAUUUGGGCUAGUGUAAAAUUCCAAAAGGGGGAAGUGCUGGAAGAGACACAAAAAAGAAAUCCUGCAACAUUAGUGAUACUUUUGGUCAGGAAGCACUGCAGCUCAUGACUCCCUAUAUAGCAGGAAAUACAGUUGGGGAGCAACUGACAGAGGCAGGGAAAAGGGCUAUGGAGUUUAUCUGAAAAGUGAAUAAGUCAAAUAUUAGAGCUAAGUCUAGUCUUGAGAGGUGACAAUAACAGAAAAGGGUGCUACUUGAUAGAUAUACAGAUGUCCAGAGAUCUAAUGACAAUGGAUCUUAGAGGCAACAAGACAAACUUAAGACCCUAUCAUCAACCCUGAUGGAAGAAGGGUCUCUAACACACAGUCAGGUUUGUCUUCAUUGGCUCCAAAAUUGGAUCUUCAGUAAUCUGCAGUUAGUGGCCUGGAGUAGGCAUUGAUCAGCACUUCCCCCAGUAGACAGAAGCUCAGAUGUCAUCCAGUGACCCUCACUUGAUGCUCAAAAAUUGAGUUCUCAUUUUCAGAACAAGAAUGUUAUUUUAUUUUAGUCCAUUCAGACGUCUAUAAUAAAAAUGUCAUAAACUGGGUGGCUUAUAAACAACAGAAAUUUAUUUUCACAGUUCUGCAGGCUAGAAAGUCCAAGAACAAGGCACCUGCAGAUUCAGUGUCUGGUGAGGUCCCAUUUCCUUAUAGACCAUGCCUUCUGGCUGUCUCUUCACUUGGUGGAAGGGGCAAAAAGCUCCCUUAAGCCUCUUUUAUAAAGACGCUAAUCCCAUUCAUGAGGGCUUUGCCCUAAUGACCCCAUCACCUCCUAAAAGCCCUACCUCUUAAUACUAUCACUUUGGAGAUUAGGUUUCAACAUAUAAACUUGAGGGAGGGAGACACAAACAUUCAGAUCAUGGAAAUCUUGGUGGCAUAUAAAUGCUCGUUCCAAAAAAUAAACUUAGUAAUAUAGAACAUAUUUACAGCAGUAAAUCAUUUGCUUUUCCCCCUCAUCUCAUUCUACCAAGACCACCAAGGCUGCCAAAAAAUGCAAAUAAGUUGUCUGCUUACGUUAUUGAUUGUUUAUUUUGCUGUUCAUAAGUAUGUUUAUUGGAGCACUAUUUACAAUAGCAAAGUCAUGGUGUCAACAAUGUGUCCACUGGAGAAAGAAAAUGUGGUGCAUAUACACCAUGGAACACUAUGCAGCUGUAAAAAAGAAUAAAACUGUGUCAUGUGCAUCAAAAUAGUUGGAACUGGAAGAAAUUACCCUAAAGAAGUAAGUCAAAAACAGAUACUCAAAUACAGCAUGUUCUCACUUAUAAGUGAGAGUUAAACAAUGGGUACAUAUGGACAUAAAGAUGGAAAUUAUAGACACUGAGGACUUCAAAAGGAGGGAAGCUAGAAUGGGAAUGAGGGUUGAAAAAUUGCCUGUUGGGUACAGUGUUUAUUAUUUUGGUAAUGGGUUCACUAGAAGCCCAAACUCCAGCAUUAGGAAAUAUAGCCAUGUAACAAAUCUUCACAUGUAUACCAUGAAUCUGAAAUAAAACAACAAAAUAAAAUAGAAAAUGCAAAUAGCAAACUGAGGAAUCUGAUUUGAAAUGAGCCGCUUUAGCUAUCUUUCUCUGCCUUCAUGUUGUAUAAUCUGGGGAGGUGUUGAUGGUUCAAUUAUCUGCACAUGGCCUUGGAGCUUUUUAUUUCAGUUUUUGGAGUCACAUUCAUUACCUCAUUUUAUUCACAAUGAUCUAACAUAGAUACCAAGAUAAUUAUUAUUAUCCCCAUUUUACAGAUUAGGAAACUAACUUGAAGAAGUACAAAGUAAUAAAUGCAAAUCUGUGCUUCAAUAGUACUAGGUAAAG